rnacentral:ncRNA from 1 species
CAAAAGCUUGGUCCUGGCUUUACUGUCGGCUUUUACCGAACUUACACAUGCAAGUCUCCGCACCCCUGUGAGGAUGCCCCCAAUUUCCCGACCGGAAAUGAGGAGCCGGCAUCAGGCGCGCUUCCCUGGAGCAGCCCAAGACGCCUUGCUCAGCCACACCCCCAAGGGAACUCAGCAGUGAUAAAUAUUAAGCAAUAAGUGAAAACUUGACUUAGUUAAAGUAAGCAAGGCCGGUCAAACUCGUGCCAGCCACCGCGGUUAUACGAGAGGCCUGAGUUGAUAGACACCGGCGUAAAGGGUGGUUAGGGACAAAACCUGUUCUAGAGUCGAACACCUCCACAGCUGUUAUACGCACCCGGAGAUACGAAGCCCCACCACGAAAGUGACUCUACGCCCUCCCCCCGAACCCACUGCAGCUAUGGAACAAACUGGGAUUAGAUACCCCACUAUGCAUAGCCUCAAACUUUGAUAGCACUCUACACCCGCUAUCCGCCCGGGUACUACGAGCGCUAGCUUGAAACCCAAAGGACUUGGCGGUGCUUUAGACCCACCUAGAGGAGCCUGUUCUAGAACCGAUAACCCCCGUUCAACCUCACCACCCCUGGCCAAACCCGCCUAUAUACCGCCGUCGUCAGCUUACCCUUUGAAGGCCCUAAAGUAAGCAAAACAAGUAGAACCCAAAACGUCAGGUCGAGGUGUAGCGCAUGGGGUGGGAAGAAAUGGGCUACAUUCUCUGUCACAGAGUAUACGGAUGGUACAGUGAAACACGUACCCGAAGGAGGAUUUAGCAGUAAGAGAAAACUAGCGUGUUUCUCUGAAGCCGGCUCUGAAGCAUGCACACACCGCCCGUCACUCUCCCCUAAAUUUCUAUAUGUCAUUUAAUAAAAAGUUCUCAAAUAAAGGGGAGGCAAGUCGUAACAAGGUAAGUGUACCGGAAGGUGCACUUGGAAUAAC